GUUACAAAUACAUGUAUAUACAGACGGAGAUACGAAUAUGCCUAAAUCGACUCGGCUCAUCACACUUAUAAUGUAUAUACAUAUAUACUUUAUAGGUUAUCCGACUUUCCCUUCCUAGUGUUACAACAGUUGUAGCAAACUUAUUAUACCCUCUUCAGGGUGAAAUCAUACUCAUAGCAACAUGUUGCGAGAGUAUAAAAAUUAAUGGUCGUUAUGACAACAAAUAUUUAUACACAUUUGGCGUAGACAAAUGUUGCUAUGCAGCAGCUGACCGGCAUGACAAUUGUAACUGAACUUGCAAUCAAGAAGAAGAGCAAGAGUAAACAAAGUGUUUCUUUUUGUUUAUUCAUUUAUUAAUAAAAUCAACGCAAAAAUACGAUGCAGGACGUUGAUGAACUUACCAAUAAUACAAAUUUAGCUUGUAAAGUUUGCGGUGAGCAGCAUUAUAUAUUGCGAGAAACAUUCAAAGGACCUGAAGGAAAAUUUAACACAAAUGGCAGUUGUGGGGACAGCGUUGGCCGUGCAUUAAAGAACGCAACUGUAUCGGCAUAUUUCGGCCAUCGAACGGCAUGAAGGAUCGUGUUUAGCAUGAUAUUUGCAAGAAGAAGACUGAUUUCAAUAUAAGCGAAUAUAAGUGGCUGACAUCCAUUGAGGAAGAGGAACUCAUUAAGGAGCUAGAAUUCAAGACGGAAUACGAUAACUACGAGAAGAGCUACAUAUAUAAAAAAGCUGCAGACAGAUGCGCUAAAGCGCGUCUAUAAUCAGGUGCAGCGUAUUGCUGAUACUGAUCAUGAGGAUUCUAUACCCGCUGCACCAGACGAAACGUUGGUGCAAACGAUGAGCUCGACUUUUUUGAGCUGCUUUCAAUUAAUGCUUUCAGUGAAUGUGUGUGAAAUCCCCUUAGAGGUCCUAAUAAAAUGUGUCUCUUAGAUGGUCUCAGCGACGAUAAAGCCGACACGGUAGAUGCAAAUGAAAUCGACUGUCAUAAUGCUCCCAGAGCAGAAGAUCGCACGUGCACUAUUUCUCAAAUUUUCUCACUACGAAUAUGGAUUGUUGGACUAGCUGGGCUAUUCGCAUAGUUGUCAGAAAAAAAUAUUGCAAAACAAGUUUUCACGUUCAUUUUUUUAGUUGCUCGAAACUUGCGCUGUAACCAUCAACGUUGAGUGGCGCUUAUUAUAUGAGGAGAUUCUCAAACUUGAGAUAAUGUUUUCAUAUGAUAUUGAAGAUUUGAAAUAUUUUCAAGCUUGCAUACGAUUAAGUACAAUAGCCCAAUUCAAGAUUUUAAUGUGAUGAUCAAUUCAUAUAAAGAGUUGGGGUGAAAGGUAUUUUGACCGUUUCACUAUCGAGAGGAUAUUCUAUGUAAUCGAUAUCAAAGGACGCGAUUUGGUGUGGCGGAAAGUACAAACAGGCAGUAGUAUAUUAUUAUUUUUUACUUAAUACAUUAUAUAAGUUAAUUAUUGAUUUUUAAUCAAAAUAAAACCUAUUAAAAACAAAAUACAUAUGUAUAUGUAUUUAUGUA